CCUCGGGAGGCAGCAGUGGGGAAUAUUGCACAAUGGGGGAAACCCUGAUGCAGCGACGCCGCGUGAGUGAAGAAGUAUUUCGGUAUGUAAAGCUCUAUCAGCAGGGAAGAAAUAGCGACCUUUGGGUCGCCAGACGGUACCUGAUUAAGAAGCCCCGGCUAACUACGUGCCAGCAGCCGCGGUAAUACGUAGGGGGCAAGCGUUAUCCGGAUUUAUUGGGUUUAAAGGGAGCGUAGGUGGAUUGUUAAGUCAGUUGUGAAAGUUUGCGGCUCAACCCCGUACUGCCGUUGAAACUGCAUCCCUUGAGUGCGCGAGAAGUAUGCUGAAUGCGUGGUGUAGCGGUGAAAUGCAUAGAUAUCACGCAGAACUCCGAUUGCGAAGGCAGCAUACCGGCGCGCAACUGACGCUCAUGCACGAAAGCGUGGGUAUCGAACAGGAUUAGAUACCCGGGUAGUC
rnacentral:rRNA from 1 species